rnacentral:rRNA from 1 species
UUCUUGAUCACGAACAUUUACGCCCCAUCUGACCAUGCCUUCAUGCAAGAUUUUGUGGAUGAGAUGAUGGCGAUCUCUGUUAUGGUCUCGGGGCCCUGGCUUGUUCUUGGCGAUUUCAACCUUAUCAGAUACCCCGAGUAGAAAAACAAUGACAACUUCUGUGCGUCUCUUGCGUCGAGAUUCAAUGCCAUGAUCGACACCCUCUCGUGGGUUGAGCUCCCUCUCUCUAACCGCUUGUUCACCUGGACAAAUCGUCGCAAUCCGCCCACCCUGGCACGCCUCGACCGUGCUUUUUUAACGCUGAUUGGGACGUGGCUCUACCCAACUCCUGUUGGGGAACGUAGUAAUUUCGAAAAAUUCCUACGCACACGCAAGAUCAUGGUGAUGUAUAGCAACGAGAGGGGGAGUGUAUCUUCAUACCCUUGA